CUGGGGUACUCGAGUGGCGAACGGGUGAGCAACACGUGGGUGAUCUGCCCUGCACUUCGGGAUAAGCCUGGGAAACUGGGUCUAAUACCGGAUAGGACCAUCGUUUAGUGUCGGUGGUGGAAAGUUUUUCGGUGUGGGGUGAGCUCGCGGCCUAUCAGCUUGUUGGUGGGGUAAUGGCCUACCAAGGCGUCAACGGGUAGCCGGCCUGAGAGGGUGUACGGCCACAUUGGGACUGAGAUACGGCCCAG
rnacentral:rRNA from 1 species